GCGGGGUGACAGACACGCAGCUCCCGCACAGGUACAGCCAUUCUUACUCCCUUCUAGCAAGCGGCACCCAUGCUCCGGACGGGCACACCGAGACAGACAGAGGCGUGGUAGCUUGCCCAUUGUUCACACAGCCUCCCCGCGGCCAGGCUGCUCUGAAGCCAGCGGUGCCCAGCGCCCAUAUCUAUUUCUGAAGAACAUACAAGGCCUGCUAAGAAUUUAG
rnacentral:lncRNA from 1 species